UACAGAGGGUGCAAGCGUUAUCCGGAUUCACUGGGCUUAAAGGGUGUGUAGGCGGGCUGUUAAGUCAGUGGUGAAAUCUCCGGGCUUAACUCGGAAACUGCCAUUGAUACUAUCUGUCUUGAAUACCGUGGAGGUUAGCGGAAUAUGUCAUGUAGCGGUGAAAUGCUUAGAUAUGACAUAGAACACCAAUUGCGAAGGCAGCUGGCUACACGAAUAUUGACACUGAUGCACGAAAGCGUGGGGAUCAAACAGG
rnacentral:rRNA from 1 species